rnacentral:rRNA from 1 species
ACGGAAGGCAGCAGUGAGGAAUAUUGGUCAAUGGGGGAAACCCUGAACCAGCGACGCCGCGUGAGUGAAGAAGUAUUUCGGUAUGUAAAGCUCUAUCAGCAGGGACGAUAAUGACGGUACCUGACUAAGAAGCCCCGGCUAACUACGUGCCAGCAGCCGCGGUAAUACGUAGGGGGCAAGCGUUAUCCGGAUUUACUGGGUGUAAAGGGAGCGUAGGUGGCCAUGCAAGUCAGAUGUGAAAUCCCGGGGCUCAACCCUGGAGCUGCAUUUGAAACUGCGGAGCUAGAGUGCAGGAGAGGUAAGCGGAAUUCCUAGUGUAGCGGUGAAAUGCGUAGAUAUUAGGAGGAACACCAGUGGCGAAAGCGGCUUGCUGGACUGCAACUGACACUGAGGCUCGAAAGUGCGGGGAUCGAACAGGAUUAGAUACCCUGGUA